CCAACGAAGUUUAAUAUUUUGUCUGAAAGAGGAUUAUCAUGUUUGCGUUAUUAAAUGGCAAUUUGCCCUUUGAGCACUUGUUUCUUGCUCCUCUAAUAUGUAAAUUUUGUUCGUUUUUUUGUUAGUUAUUUACUUUGUAAAUGAGAUAUAUCUGACUCCCUUAUUUGAUGUUAUUUUCUCUCUUUCCUUAAAACCAAAAUAAAAGAGUGAAGAAACAUUAAUAUCGACUGUCUCAUAGUUAGACUGCAAACUACUUCCAAGUUUUUUUGCCUAAGUGAAGAUUGUGAGGUUAGUGCUAGAGAGUUUGCUGAGCACGUUGGUACCAGAUUGGGUACAUUGCGCCUAUUAUUUUAGGAAAUGUGUUCGACAUCUCUACUAUGUACUUAGCAUCAUCACACCAAUAACUAUGGUACCCAGCUUAUGUAAUGCCUAUUUAUUAGAAAACAUGGGUUGAUUAACUAUUUCAUUGAAUCAAUACAAUUGAAAAGGGGAAUGAGCAUCUUAACUAACUGAAGUUACAUAACUAACAAGUAUGAGUAACAAUCUAACUAACUAUGAUUGAAAAUAGACUAAGUAAAUGAGAAAAAGUUAAGAUUAAGUGUCUAAGUCAAUCAAUAAAAGCUAAGUCUGUCAGCCCCUAAUCAGCAAGCUCCCAGCCAGUUCUUAGUCACCCAGCCAGCUCCUUGCCAGUGAAUCAACAAGCUUGAGUAUAAGCUUCAUCCUUUGUCUUCUAACACUAUUGGACAUUGAUCUACAAGACAAAUAAUUAUGGUGGAUAUGUGCAACACAAAGGUUACUUCACACAACAGCAGAAUGCAACUGCACCCCCUCAGUAUCAAUCAGAUGUUUCAAAACAAUUUCCUAUUCCUAUAAACAACAUUCAGCAACCAAAUGGAACUUCACACCAAGUAUAAUUUAAUUAAGAAAAAAAUGUGUAUUAUUUAUAUGAAAAUGAAUCUAUUGCAUAACCAUACCUGUUUUUCUUAUGUUAUCUGCAACAAUGACAAUAAUCCAGUUGAACGAGGCAAGCUAUUUUCAUUAGUAUUUUUUUUAACUUCUUGUUGAUUUCUGUGUAAACUUUUUUGUACUUCUGUUAGGUUGACAGCCAAACAUGAGAUUUCUGAAAGUUCAGCCAUUCAUGCAUCUUUGCACUUGUCAUGUUUUGAGUAAAUUAAUAAUUAUAUACUAGUAUGUACAAGUUCAAUUAGCACGUGAAUGUGGUUUGAGUAAAUUAAUGAAAAUAGGUCCAAAUGUU
rnacentral:lncRNA from 1 species